GAUGAAGAACGCAGCGAAAUGCGAUAAGUAGUGUGAAUUGCAGAAUUCAGUGAAUCAUCGAAUCUUUGAACGCAUAUUGCGCCCCUUGGUAUUCCAUGGGGCAUGCCUGUUCGAGCGUCAUUUGUACCUUCAAGCUUUGCUUGGUGUUGGGUGUUUGUCUCGCCUUUGCGUGUAGACUCGCCUUAAAAUAAUUGGCAGCCGGCGUAUUGAUUUCGGAGCGCAGUACAUCUCGCGCUUUGCACUCAUAACGACAGCGUCCAAAAGUACAUUUUACACUCUUGACCUCGGAUCAGGUAGGGAUACCCGCUGAACUUAAGCAUAUCAAUAAGCGGAGGA
rnacentral:misc_RNA from 1 species